UGCUCGGGGGCUACUGGCGGGCUUGGGAGUUGUGGGUUUAUGCCUACUUUCCUAGGCUUGCUCCCGUACCGGUCACGGAGACUCCUCUGGUUGUCCCGUUUUCGCGUCGCUUUGACGGGAGAUGCACCCGGAGGCCGCGAGAGACUUUCAACUUCUUUCGCCGCUACUUCGACACCAUUACCCCUGCCGAGAUCACUUGGCAGUCGUGGGCUCCGUUGCUGGCGGCGAUACGGGACCGGUUUGCUGGUGCUGAGGAGACCUCGCGUUUUCGGAUCUUGCUAGAGGGCCCGGUCUGUCGGGCUUGGUACCUGGGUGAGCGUUUUCUACGCCAGACCCUAGGGUUACCGGAGCAGAUAGUCCCGGUUCAC